CCCUUAGAUGUUCUGGGCCGCACGCGCGCUACACUGAUACGUUCAACAAGUUUAGAACCUUGACUGAGAGGUCUGGGUAAUCUUUUGAAUGCGUAUCGUGUUAGGGAUAGAUUAUUGCAAUUAUUAAUCUUGAACGAGGAAUUCCUAGUAAACGCAAGUCAUCAGCUUGCAUUGAUUACGUCCCUGCCCUUUGUACACACCGCCCGUCGCUCCUACCGAUUGAAUGCUCAGGUGAGCCAUUCGGACUUUCAUCAUGCUGGUUUCCAGUUUUGAUGAAGGAAAGUCUUGCGAACCUUAUCAUUUAGAGGAAGGAGAAGUCGUAACA
rnacentral:rRNA from 1 species